rnacentral:rRNA from 1 species
AUUGAACGCUGGCGGCAUGCCUUACACAUGCAAGUCGAACGGCAGCACAGGGAGCUUGCUCCUGGGUGGCGAGUGGCGAACGGGUGAGUAAUGUAUCGGAACGUGCCCAGUAGUGGGGGAUAACUACUCGAAAGAGUGGCUAAUACCGCAUGAGAUCUCUGGACGAAAGUGGGGGACCGCAAGGCCUCACGCUACUGGAGCGGCCGAUAUCAGAUUAGGUUGUUGGUGGGGUAAAGGCCUACCAAGCCUGCGAUCUGUAGCUGGUCUGAGAGGACGACCAGCCACACUGGGACUGAGACACGGCCCAGACUCCUACGGGAGGCAGCAGUGGGGAAUUUUGGACAAUGGGCGCAAGCCUGAUCCAGCAAUGCCGCGUGCAGGAUGAAGGCCUUCGGGUUGUAAACUGCUUUUGUACGGAACGAAAAGGCUCUGGUUAAUACCUGGGGUCCAUGACGGUACCGUAAGAAUAAGCACCGGCUAACUACGUGCCAGCCGCCGCGGUAAAAC